rnacentral:rRNA from 1 species
CCUACGGGAGGCAGCAGUGGGGAAUAUUGCACAAUGGGGGAAACCCUGAUGCAGCAACGCCGCGUGAAGGCAGACGGUUUUCGGAUUGUAAACUUCUGUUCUUAGUGAAGAAUAAUGACGGUAGCUAAGGAGCAAGCCACGGCUAACUACGUUCCAGCAGCCGCGGUAAUACGUAGGUGGCAAGCGUUUGCCGUAAGUACUGGGUGUAAAGGGAUCGCAGGCGGGAAGUCAAGUCAGCUGUGAAAACUACGGGAUUAACUUUUAGAAUGCAGUUGAAACUGGUUUUCUUGAGUGAAGUAGAGGUUGGAGGAAUUCUGAGUGUAGCGGUGAAAUGCUGAGAUAUCACGAAGAACUCCGAUUGCGAAGGCAGCUUACUAAACUGCCACUGACAUUGAUGCUCGAAAGUGUGGGUAUCAAACAGGAUUAGAUACCCCAGUAGUC